GACGAACGUUGGCGGCGUGCUUAAUACAUGCAAGUCAACUGAAGCACCGGUAGUAAUACUGGUGUGGAGGUGGCGCACGGGUGAGUAACACGUAGGUAAUCUGCCUUCAGGUCUGACAUAACCCCGAGAAAUCGGGCUAAUAGCAGAUGAUGCAGCGGCUUGACAUCAAAGACAGUUGUUAAAGCUUCGGCGCCUGAAGAUGAGCCUGCGUCUGAUUAGCUAGUUGGCGGAGUAAUAGCCCACCAAGGCGACGAUCAGUAGCUGGUCUGAGAGGAUGAUCAGCCACACUGGAACUGAGACACGGUCCAGACUCCUACGGGAGGCAGCAGUAAGGAAUAUUGCUCAAUGGGAGAAAUCCUGAAGCAGCAACGCCGCGUGAGGGAUGAAGGGCGUUUUGCUCGUAAACCUCUGUAGUG
rnacentral:rRNA from 1 species